UACAGAGGUGCCGAGCGUUAUGCGGAAUCACUGGGCUUAAAGCGUGUGUAGGCGGUCCGUUAAGUGUCUUGUGAAAUCCCACCGCUCAACGGUGGAACUGCUGGGCAUACUGGCGAUCUUGAGCCACCUAGGGGCAGACGGAACAAGCGGUGGAGCGGUGAAAUGCGUAGAUAUCGCGUGGAACGCCGACGGUGAAAACAGUCUGCUGGGGGUGUGCUGACGCUGAGACACGAAAGCCAGGGGAGCGAACGGG
rnacentral:rRNA from 1 species